rnacentral:rRNA from 1 species
CGUGUGUGCUGAUAUGACUCUUCCAUCUCUCUAGAGAGCCACGCCUGCUGCUCACUCAUCUGGGCGUGUGCGAUCUAGAUCAUCUAUCUUGUAAAAAUAGAGGGUGUAAGCAAGCAUUUAUUCUGCAUACACAGCAUCGGAGUAUAAUAUAGGAGGUCUGGUCUUAUUUUGUGGUUUCUAGACAGCAGUAAUGAUUGAUAGGGAUAGUAGUGGGUGCUAGUAUUCAGUGGCCAGAGAUGAGAUUCUCGUGAUUCUCUGAAGACUAAUCUCUUGCUGAGAGCACUCUCCACCGGAGGUGUUCUUUUUAUCUAGAGCGAGAGAUGGGGGAUCGAGGACGAUCAGAGACACUCGUAGUCUCACCCAUAUACUAUACAGAGUAUGGAUCAGUGGGCGUGUUAUAUUGAGUCCACAGGCACUUUAUGAGAGAUCAAAGUCUCUGGGUUCCGGGGGGAGUAUGGUCGCAAGACUGAAACUUAAAGGAAUUGACGGAAGGGCGCCACCAGGAGUGGAGCGCGCGGCUUAAUUUGACUCAACACGGGAAAACUCUCCAGGUCCAGACAUAGUGAGGAUUGACAGAUUGAAGAUAUUUCUUGAUUUUAUGGGGGGUGGUGCAUGGCCGUUUUUAGUUGGUGGAGUGAUUUGUGUGGUUAAUUCCGUUAACGAAAGAGACCUCGACCUACUAAAUAGUUGGUGGAAGCCCUUGGCUUUGCGCUUACUUUUUAGAGGGACAAUCGG